rnacentral:rRNA from 1 species
AUUGAACGCUGGCGGCAUGCUUUACACAUGCAAGUCGAACGGUAACAGGCCGCAAGGUGCUGACGAGUGGCGAACGGGUGAGUAAUGCAUCGGAACGUGCCCAGUCGUGGGGGAUAACUACUCGAAAGAGUAGCUAAUACCGCAUACGAUCUAUGGAUGAAAGCGGGGGACCGUAAGGCCUCGCGCGAUUGGAGCGGCCGAUGUCAGAUUAGGUAGUUGGUGGGGUAAAGGCUCACCAAGCCAACGAUCUGUAGCUGGUCUGAGAGGACAACCAGCCACACUGGGACUGAGACACGGCCCAGACUCCUACGGGAGGCAGCAGUGGGGAAUUUUGGACAAAGGGCGCAAGCCCGAUCCAGCAAUGCCGCGUGCAGGAAGAAGGCCUUCGGGUUGUAAACUGCUUUUGUACGGAACGAAACGGCUCUGGUUAAUACCCGGGGCUAAUGACGGUACCGUAAGAAUAAGCACCGGCUAACUACGUG